GGCCUGGCUGGAUGGUCUGCCUAACGGUUUGUACUGUCCGGCUGGGUCUUACCUCUUGGUGAGCCGGCGUGCCCUUCACUGUGGUGCGUCGGGGAACCAGGACUUUUACCUUGAGAAAAUUAGAGUGUUCAAAGCAGGCUUAUGCCUGAAUACAUUAGCAUGGAAUAAUAGAAUAGGACGUGUGGUUCUAUUUUGUUGGUUUCUAGAAUCGCCGUA
rnacentral:rRNA from 1 species